ACCCCAAAUAUAAAGUUUAAGCUUUUUUUAGAA
rnacentral:tRNA from 1 species